rnacentral:lncRNA from 1 species
UUUUUGGGAAUUUAAAAUGAAUUUUUGGGACUUUUUUGGGAUUUGAAAUGAAAUUUUUGGGAUUUUUUCCUGGAAUUUUUUGGGAUUUUAUUUUGGGGAAUUUUAAACGAAUUUUGGGGUUUUUUUUGUCUGAAAUUUUCUGUGAUUUUUUUGGGAAUUUUUAAUGGAUUUUUGGGGUUUUUUGGGGAAUUUUUAAUGAAUUUUUAGGGAUUUUUCGGGAAUUUUGUCUGAAAUUUUCCGUGAUUUUUAGGGAAUUUUUAAUGAAUUUUGCUGAUUUUUUUGGGAAUUUUUAAUGAAUUUUCGGGAUUUUUUUGGGAGUUUUUAAUGAGUUUUUGGGAUUUUUUGGGAAUUUUUAAAUGGAUUUUUUGGGAAUUUUUUUUGGGAUUUUUAAUGAAUUUUUGGGAUUUUUCAGGAUUUUUAUUCUGAAAUCUUCCAUGAUUUUUUUGAAAUUUUUAAUGAUUUUUUGGGAAUUUUGGGGAAUUUUUAAUGAACUUUUUGGGAAUUUUUUUAGGGAUUUUAAAUUAAUUUUUUUGGAUUUUUUGGGGGGAUUUUUAAUAAAUUUUUGGGAUUUUUUGGAAAAUUUUUAAUUAAUUUUUCGGGAAUUUUUAAUGAAUUUUUGGGAUUUUUUUGGGGGGAUUUUAAAUGAAUUUUUGGGAAUUAUUUUGGAAUUUUAAAUUAUUUUUUUGGAAUUUUUUGGGGGGAUUUUUAAUGAAUUUUUGGGAUUUUUUUCUGAAAUUUUCCGUGAUUUAUUUCAAAACUUUAAAUGAAUUUUUGGGAUUUUUUUGGGGAAUUUUUAAUGAAUGUUUUGGGAUCUUUUUGGGAAUUUUUAAUGAAUUUUUUGGGAUUUUUUUCUGAAAUUUUCCGUGAUUUUUUGGGAAUUUUUAAUGAAUAUUGGGGAUUUUUUGGGGGGAAUUUUUUUGGGUUUUUGGGUGAAUUUUCUGGGGUUUUUUGGGUGAAUUUUGGUGGAUUUUGGGGGAUUUUUUGGGGGAUUUUUUGGGGAAUUUUUUUGGGGUGAAUUCCGGGGAUUUUGGCUCACCUUGAAGCCGAGGUCGCCGCGCUUGCAGCACAGGCAGGUGAGGAGGAGGAGGAUGAAGGCCGCCAGCCCCGAGCACGAGAGCAGCAGCGCCGCCGAGGGGGGGCCCGCGGGGGGGGGGCCUGGAAACGGGGAGAAAAACGGAGAAAACGGGAAAAAAUGAGAAACGUUCAUCAAAAAUGGGAAUGAACGGGGGGAAAUGGGGAGAAAGGAGGGAAAUGGAUGUAAAAUGGGAAUAAAUGGGAAACAAUGGGAAUAAAAUGGGAAUAA